CAGACACUCAGAAGAGCUGUGUUUAUCGCUUCUCUAAGACGGUCAGCUCCUCUGAUGCUGGGACUUACUACUGUGCUGUUGUCACAUGUGGAACGAUAUUAUUUGGAGAUGGAACUCAACUGCAAAUUGAAACAGGUUGGGAAUUUAUUGCGCUGGCAAUAGCAAUAAUCUGCCUGGUCAUUUCAGUGAUUGUAAAUAUUGUUUUCACCUGUUUCGGAAGACCAAGACUAGCAUGUAAUAAAUUUAAAGACAGCACAUCUUCACAAGGAAGAAAUGACAACUUGACUCAACCACUGGAUGAUAUUAAUGAAGGUGAGCAGGAUCUGAACUAUGCAGCAAUACAUUUCCCUGGAAGGAAAGCUACAAAAGGAAGCAAUAAAAAAGAACAGAAGACUGAAGAAUGUGUUUAUUCUCAAGUUAAGCGCUGAUCUGAAUGUGUUAACCAACCCUCUUACAAAGUGAAUAAAAUCAUCUUGUGGGUUAUUCCACUGUAGAUAACUUUAAUAAUGUUUUGUGAUGCAAAUAAAUAAGGAUUUACAACCGCAA